rnacentral:antisense_RNA from 2 species
AAAGAUCGCAGCCUUCGGCAGCUCCUACACAGGAAUGUGUCUUUCCCUGUAGGAGCUGCCGAAGGCUGCGAUCUUU